rnacentral:lncRNA from 1 species
CUCGCAGAUCCGCCGCCUCUUCCUCUGUGUGGCACGCGACCGCGAGGAAAUGGCUGUUGAGCCAGUCGACUUGGAGCGCGACGAGACUCGUCAAAGGCCCCCACAGCGCUUCCAGCUUCGAUGCGGAGAGACCUCCGAAGUAGGAAGCGAAAAACUCGCAUUCCAGCUCAACCUCGCUGUCCCAGGACGCCUCUGGAGGUUUCGCCGCCUCUUGACAGUCUGAUCCUUCAACCUCCGCCUUCAGGCAAGAAGUCGCCAGAACAGCAGACCCUGAACCAAUAGACAGCCCAUCAAAAAGAGAAGAAGAUGACGCACCCACCGGCGAAGGAGCAGGCUGCAGAGCCGGCGGGACAGAAGCAGACUUCAAAACAGAGACUGAGAGAUCGAGAUAGACGGAAACACAGCGGUGGUAACCAAUGACACAGAUCCAAGCCAGAAAGAGAGAGCAACCGUGGACUGCUGUGACGAUGUGAAGGAGAAGGAGCCACCAGAGUAAGGAUGAGAAGGAACUGCCUGAGUAAGAGACGGAAGAGGCGAAAGAGAAGGAUGAAGAGACAAAAGAACUCUCACCCUUUUCUAAGCAGUGUUCCGCUUCUGGGGGCGUAGAAGGCGAGGAGUCUGACGAAGAAACCUGCGAAUUUUCUGUUUCUCGCAUCGACACAGGAGACUGCGACGCGCAAGCAGAGGUUGUGGGCUCCUGAGUUGGAGGCGACACUUGCGCUGAAGGAAACGUCCGAGACACUCCGGAGAUACCGCGUACCUCUGCGGCGUUUCCAACGUUUUGACUGCCAGUCGAGGCGUUGUCUGCGGUCUCGUCUGUCCCGCUCGUCGCUUUGAAUUCAUCAGUUUGACCACCCGGCUGCAUUUUAUCCUCCACAAGGCAUGGAGCCAUCGGAUCGCCUGAUCCACGGGUCUUCUCGCGUUCUUCUCCAACGCACGUCUGUCUUUUUCUGUCCGCCUUUUUCGAGAUUUCUUUUCCUCUCGCCUGCCUCCAGCUGUCUAUAUCCCCUGAGCCUGCACCGUUCUCACCCUCGCGCAGCAGCCCCGCCACCGCCAACGCAUGACCUUCUUCGGAGGACUGAGAGGAGGAGCCGGCCGCUUGGAGAGAAGAAGACGCCGUGUCACUCACGGACAGCCUCUCGGGUCGACAUGCAGUGGACGCAGCUGCGCAAGUGACUCCUAUCUCGGUGUUCCCUCGACUCCUCGACUCCUGCGCGUCCGCCUCGAGGCGUCUCUUUUCGUUGAGAAACGUCAAGAAGGCCCACUCAAAGCGCGCCUGCAAUUCAGAGACAGUCAUCUCGCCCACCAGUCGCAGCCCAGGAGACACUUGCGAAGAACUGCUGCGUCGGCCUCGCUCCUCUCUGGAAGCGCGGAGCUCAUGAGGCAUUAGCGGAAAAGACCGAAGAAGAACCAGCGACCGACUCUGGCUCAGACGAACGAACAGCCAGCGAGAAAGCUUCCAUAGUGGGUGGACCUCUGCUGCAGUUUUUCUCGCGCAGUCCUCAAGCCGCGUCCUGUUGGCGUCUGCAGGGUCUGCAUUGUAAGAAAGACACACGAAGCAGGCGACCACUUUCAAAGAGACGCUGAGACAACGUCAGCGUUGCGCCGCAGACAGAAGCACAGAAGGUCAGCUGCGUUCAGAGGUCUUGCCUGUCGGCAGCGGCGUCGACAGAGAGUAAGCAGCCUAGACUAGCGCGACACAAGAUGGAGACACAAGGCCCAGAACGUAGGACAGCCACCGAGCUGCUGAAUUGUGUCUCUGCACAAGAAACCGCGCAAAAGUUCUCUUCAUCGCUUGCAGGGCGAGGCGAGACCACUGACUGGAAGAGAAGGAGGCGCCGACGAGACACUGGCUGAGGUGUCUUUGCGCAUGAUUUACGAGCGACAACGCGUUGAAACCCGUGAGCUGUUUAACUCUACUAUCGUGUCUGUCCACCCCGCCUUGAAAGGCUCUGAAGUUCCCAGAAACGCGAGUCUGCUUCCCCGGAUUCUCCACCUACUUUCUUUGCCAGUCGUUUCCUCCUGUCUGCGACUUUCCUCUGCUUGCUUCAACUGCUCCAUGUCGUCCAGAAGUUUUCUUCGCAAGCUCUCGACUUUGACGCGUCUUUCUCGCUCUCUGUCUGUCUUUACCGACACCAUCGCCCCCGCCGUCGCGCCGCCGCCUUCGUCUCCUCCUGCUGGUUGGCUGUCGCUCUCCGCGCCUGAAGCCUUCUCUCCAGGCUUCCUUCGACCUGCCCGGCCCGCAUCUCUGUACGUUUGACGGCCGCGACGAGGAGAAACGUCUUCUCCCUUUCCAGAAACUCCCUCUCUGCUUGUCGUGCGGUCCCCCGUGCGCCCUCUGCCCCUUCGCCCUCUGCCUGCGCCUCGCCCUCCGCCGACCGCCACCGUCUCCCUUUUCUUCUCGUUCCUCGCCUCCUGUUCGUCGGCGGAGGAAAACCGUUCACACCGGUGGUCGAAGGCGGUCUCUGUCUGGACGCUCCAGGCGUUGAAUCCAGCGUCUUUGACGUCUCGAAUGGCGCGGAGGUUGUGGGCAUGGCAUUUCUGCAGGACGUCGAGGCCGUCGACAACCAUCAGGUGGUUCUCGCGAGUCCAUUCUCCGAAACUCUUCUUCGUCGCGAGUUUGUUGUACCCGAGGCAGACGACUCUGUAGAUCACUUCAAACUGUCUCCGCGACGCCCGAGCUCCGGGCUCUGCAGGCCCCGAGCUGAGACAGGGACUCAAGCAGCGGGUCUUCUCUCUCGGUCUGAGAAACUGUGUCGCGGCCGACUCGUCUUCGCUGCUCUCGCUGCUGUCUUCAGAAGAACUCGUGAACAACGCGCUCUGGAGACGCCGACGUUUCGGCUGCUCUUCGCAGUCCUCGACUUCAGCCUCGCCAGCGCCUCCACGCUUGCCCUUUCUCUGUCUCUGUUCUUCCUCGCGCAGCGCCACCGGGGAGACGAGAGCCGUGGUGUGCGGCUGCGAGGCUUCACUCUUCCUGGCACCGCGUCUUCGCCUGCAUGCAAAAAGGCGACGUUCCAACACGACGCCUAGCUGAAAACGCCCCUGCCAACUGUGCAUGACCAGCUCCCCGAGCUGAAACGCCGGGGUCACGCCCGCGCGCUCCCAGACUCCCGCGGCGCCAGGCCAGUGGGCACACGAGCUUGCAGGCGCGAACGCGCAGUCUGGGGACCAGGCGGGGAGCGCUGGGGGGACUCCGGGUCGCGCGGGGGUCGACGGUGGAAGCAAAAAGAAGGCGCGUGGAGAGAAAGAGAGGUCGGAUGAGGAGACAGACUCCACGUUUUUCGAACGAGACAAGCGAGAGGAAGUUUCUCUCCAUGCAACUGUCUCCGUUGAAUCUUUGUAUGUUGUCGGAGACGACGCUUCUCGACUCCGAAUCUCUUCACUAGGACCUCGAGGGUCGACCUGUUCACGAACCCUCUGCGUUUCCUCCUCAACUUUGUCUUUCUCUUCUUGACAAGUGUGCUCACCGCAGACGACUUCUUCUUCCCGCCGAUCCCCUUGCGUCUUCGCCUCUCUCAGUCCGUCUCCCUCCCCGUCGACUCCGCGCCUCCUUCCACUUUUCUCUCCGACGCGUUCUUCGACAGCCUUUUCCGCUGAGGCCGUCUCGCCCUCACUCUCCUCACUACCCCCGCUCUCCCCCGCGUCUCUGUCUGCGGCCCACACCGCAGCUUCUUCCUCGGCCUUCAUCGCCAUUAGAACACCGAGAACGUUUCGCCGGCGACUUUCUGGGAGCCCCCAGAGCCACCGGAGAACCGCCUCCGGGAGGACGGCGGAUUCAGCGAUCCGCCGUCUCUCGGUGAGGCUCUUCAGCGUGCUCGUCUGUUCAGUCCACACAGUCCGCGGGGCAAACGACGAGCGGUCAGAAGAGAGGAAGCUGCUGGACGGCGGACGCAGCGAGCCGAGGAAAGGAGGUAGACUGUCCUCGCUGUCUCUUCCAUCCUGAGUCGGGAUGGCGUCGGAGAAAAGCGUCGCCUCGUUGUUCGAUGGGGGGCUCCGCUGAACAAGAGAGGCAUAACAGAGGUGCAGGCGCUCCCGCAGCCACUCCCACAGACUCAAGUCUUCCGGGCUGACGCUGGCGGACAGCCGUGGACAGAGCGGGUGCCUCGCCUUGACACCUGAGCUUGGAGAGUGUCGACUCGCGCAUGCGGAGAACGCUGUUUCGCCUUCCCCUUCCGCCGGUCCAGCAGGCAGAAAGGACUCCGAAGAAGGGGAAACUCCGACAGUCGCUCCGUGGCCGACGCCCCCAUUGCAUGCAGUUUGAGUGCGAGCGUCCAUUCUUAUGACUUUGGGCUGAUGGGAAGAGUGCGCCCCCGGGGGAAGUCUUGAGCGUCUGCCAACCGAUUCGUCUGCCGCGUUAAGCUGCGGAGCGCUCAGAUGCAAGACGACUCUCAGUUUGAAAAGUCAAGGAGUUCGUUGUCCUUAAUUUGUGACAGCUUCUCCCGCUGCGACAACUCAUUCUGGUACGGUGAGAGCCGCGCGGACUUCGCCUUCCGGCGUAGCCAGCUGAGGCGUCACGGCGCGGAACAAGUGAGGAAUGUUGCAACCUUUGCUUGCUGGGGGGGAGUGUUUACCACGAAUCAACUCCUGGUCUAGACCAGGAACUCUUGAAGGUUGGGGUUCCCUGCACCCAAGCGUGGAAGAGACGGAAGGACGCGUUUCCUCGCUUUAGUGUCGACACAGGCGAGGUGCGCCGGCAGCGGAGAGGCAGGCGCAAAGGAGAAACGAAUUUUUGGACAUUGCGAAUGGCUGGGAGGAGAAAACAGGCAAGGUUUCGCCAGGGAAGAGACAUGAAAAAGUGCACAAGGUGGCGCCGUUCCUUCGACCCGAGACUGGGCGCAGAAGGCAAGACACACACCACUUUUUCCCUUUUUUCAACCUUGUUUCGACAUGCGUGUCUCGAAGACGAAGUGAAAUAAGGAGAAUCGCGUCCGUGUGGUACCAGAACGCGGUUCGAAGGAAGGAACUGUGAAAAAACGCCGCGAAUCCAGAAGAAAAGAGAUGGGAGAUGAGGGGAAAAAAAUGGUAAAAGGCACACGAGAGCCGCGAGUUGCAACAAGUGGUUCCGUGUGUCAGCAGCUCUGCUCAACUGGAGGAUCCUGCACACCUUGCAGUUGGAGAGCACGGAUUUGAAAAGUCAGAUCAGCGAAGAACGGCCCUGUUUUCCAAAGCAAACGUUCAUAGCAAAGGGAAUGAAGGAGGAACCGCAUAGUUUGCUGGGCAACCCGGGAAGUUCCACGAGACACGAAACAGGCUCGGGUGAGGUCAAUGCGUUCCGACAGCGGCGCUGCAGCCUCGGCAAAAACGGCUUUUUCUGGCAGCUGGCAACAGUGCAGGUUCCAAGAAAAACACUUUUUCGAAGAUCCGAGACGGACGCGGCCAUUUCAGAGGAAGACGACUUUCUUACCGGACUCAGACUGCACCUGCCGGGUGAAAAGUGGGUGGGGACAAAGGGGGGAGGAAAAAGGGGCAAAUGUGCAUGUGAGGUGGCAUUUCCGCACACGAGGAGCUUGGCUUUUUCGCAUUUGCAGUCAGCGCUGCUGUCCUUUCGGACUUUCAAGGACGUUGGGGGGCUGAAAAGCCGCACCGGAGAGGAAGAGUCGAAGGGAAACCCGCAACCACGCUACAGCAAUGUCUUCAACACUCGGUUGAACAAGACAGCUCGCCUUUUUGCUUAUAAAAAUUGCAAGGAUUGCUGUUAGAAACGAUGUAAAAUGGCUAUAUGCAAACGAUAGAGUGUGUGUCGCACAGCGCAAUCAAAGAUUUCGACUUCAGAAUGAGACUGGUUUCUACACACAAGCGCACUUUUUCUUGACAUGCUUGUGAUAGCUACUUAGAAAACGAUACGACGUAGCGGACGGACGACGAUUCUCUCCGUUGCAUCUGGUCUUUCAUUCUCUGUGUUACCCCCGAACAUUGACAGAUGAAUGUGUCGUGGACUGUAUAAUUCAAGAUCAAGAAACGCUCUCCUACCUUUAGGCCGUUGCGUUUCUCGGCGAACCAGCGUAUCUGGAGUGUGUUUCGACAGUGAGGCCACCUCCUUAGUUGUACGCAUUAGCACUGUUCGUUUGCAAUCACAAUGUAACCAAUGCAGUCCAGUACAAGAAAGUAGUAGCUGCUCUGUUGCGGUAGUUGUCUGUUGCCUGUGGCAUAGCCCAUUUCGGAUUUCUGUCACAUGCAUGGGAUUUCUGUGAUUUCCAGCACAGUGGCCGACGCUCUACACCGGAGGAAAAGUGUUAUCAAAGCCAUGACUUUCCUGUAAGUAGCAG